rnacentral:rRNA from 1 species
CUACGGGUGGCUGCAGUGGGGAAUAUUGGACAAUGGGGGAAACCCUGAUCCAGCAAUGCCGCGUGUGUGAAGAAGGCCUGCGGGUUGUAAAGCACUUUCGGUUGGGAGGACUGCUUCUAGCACUAAUAUUGUUGGAAGUUGACGUUACCUUCAGAAGAAGCACCGGCUAACUCCGUGCCAGCAGCCGCGGUAAUACGGGAGGGUGCAAGCGUUAAUCGGAAUUACUGGGCGUAAAGCGCACGUAGGCGGCUAGAUCAGUCGGGUGUGAAAGCCCCGGGCUUAACCUGGGAACUGCAUCCGAUACUGUCUAGCUUGAGUACAGGAGAGGAGAGUGGAAUUCCACAUGUAGCGGUGAAAUGCGUAGAUAUGUGGAGGAACACCAAUGGCGAAGGCAGCUCUCUGGCCUGAUACUGACGCUGAGGUGCGAAAGCGUGGGGAGCAAACAGGAUUAGAUACCCUAGUAGUC